GCUGACUCUCUUUUCGGACUCAGGCGCCUGCACCCAGGUGAAAUAAACAGCCAUGUUGCUCACACAAAGCCUGUUUUGUGGUCUCUUCACACGGACGCGCAUGAAAUUUGGUGCCAUGACUCGGAUCGGGGGACCUCCCUUGGGAGAUCAAUCCCCUGUCCUCCUGCUCUUUGCUCCGUAAGAAAGAUCCACCUACGACCUCAGGUCCUCAGACCUACCAGCCCAGGAAACAUCUCACCAAUUUCAAAUCCGGAGCUUGCUACAUGUGCCGGAAAUCUGGCCACUGGGCCAAGGAAUGCCCGCAGCCUAGGAUUCCUCCUAAGCCAUGUCCCAUCUGUGUGGGACCCCACUGAAAAUCGGACUGUUCAACUCACCUGGCAGCCACUCCCAGCUUCCCUGGAACUCUGGCCCAAGCCUCUCUGACUGACUCCUUCCCAGAUCUUCUCGGCUUAGCAGCUGAAGACUGACACUGCCUGAUCGCCUCGGGAGCCCCCUAGACCAUCACGGACGCCGAGCUUCGGGUAACUCUCACAGUGGAGGUCCCCUUUUCCCCUGUUCAAUGAGGUACAGCCUCUUGUCCCACGACCAAGAAGAACAAGGCACGCAGACACCAGUGGUUCAAGUUUAAUACAAACUACAAAAGAUCAAUGGGUUGAUGCCCUCUACUGACACAUCAUACAAAUCAGUGGCCUCCCCACAAUACGACUCAGGCCAUCCCUUCCAAAAGAAGAAAGGCUGGUCUCUCCACCCCCUGUAGGAAAGGCCUGCCUUGUAACACACCACAGUUCGGCUGAAUCUGAAGUCUUGUAUUUUACUCAUGGAAAAAAAAAACCACAAAAGAGACUUUGUUCUCAGGGGUUCCCACUGCAGCCUGGCACUAAAACAGCCCAGCACUCACUCCUGCUUGGAUAAAUAUUCUUUGCUCUUUUGGACAUCAGUCUUGAUAGUAUCACUGCCAGGUUUCCAGCCAGCUGGGCACACUUCCCUAUGUUUGUCAGUGAACUGGAAGGCCUGAACUAGUCUCAAAGUCUCAUCCACAGAGCAGUCAACAGGGAGGUCAUUUACAGUGAUCUGCCGAAGAAUACCCAUAUCAUCAACGAUAAAGAGGCCCCUGAAUGAGAUGCCUUCUUCAGCCUUUAAGAUCCCAUAAUCCUGAGCAAUGGUGCACUUCGGGUCUGAGGCCAAAGGAAUGUUCCUGGGUCCCAGUCCUCCUUGUUUCUUAGGGGUGUGGAUCCAUGCCAGCUGACAGAAGUGAGAAUCCACAGAAGCACCAAUCACUUGGCAGUUGAAUUUCUUAAAUUCUUCUGUAUCACUGAAAGCAAUGUUCUCUGUGGGGCACACAAAAGUGAAGUCAAGCCGGUAAAAGAAGAAUACAACAUAUUUCCUUUGUAGUCAGACAGGCUGAUAUCUUUAAACUGACUGUCUGGCAUAAUGGCUGUGGCUUUGAAGUUGGGGGCAGGGUGCCCAAUUUUAGCGUUUCCUGAAGACAUCUUCCUAUCAGCAGUCCUGACACAAGCCUCUGAGAACAAACCACCAACACCAGGCAGGAAGAGGACGCUGUGAUAGUUAUUCUUAAUGAAACAUGAAAGCAAUAAUAUUUUAUGCUAUAUGACUUCCUAUUUCAAAUUAAUUGGAACUGUUCUGUAGACACCAACAGAAUCAAAAACUAUUUUAUAUCAGUGUCAGCUCAUAGAGACAGUAGAUAAUAGAAAUAUAAAGCACAAUUUUUAAGGGAAUUGCAUAUAAAAGGAGAUGAGAACCAGGUCUGAAAACAUUUUGUUUAUUUUAGCAACUGGUGAUUUUCAUCCAAGAUUGAAAUUAUAUGGGUCUCAUUGUUCUUUCUUCCAAAAGAUAACGUUGCACCUGUCUUUUUAUCAUGACUAAACCACUAAAUUUAUCAUUGGUGUGACCAAAAUGCAUUGAUGAGUCAAACAUGGGUGAGGUAUUCAAAAGCCAUAAGAGACUUGCACAAUCAUUCUAAUAAUCUUCCUUUUCCAGAAGCCUCAACCACCUCUUCAGCCCUGAGUGCCAGCAGUGGGCCAAAGAGUCUCUCUUGCCAGCAUUAGGCUGAAGCAAUGGAGUAGAGAGAACUCCAAUUAUUGUUCCAUGAUACAGGUUAUUUAUUCUUUUUGAGAGUCUGUCCCCCCAGAAAGUGCUUAAUUGCAUACCAAUUAAUAUCUAACUGGCAUUCUUCAAGGUGUGUCUAUUUUAUUAAAACAUUUCAGUAACAUAAAUUACAAUUGUCUAUUCUUGCCUCUACAUAAUGGUGUUAUAUUUCAUAUCAUUUUAUAAGCUGAUGUAUUUACAGUGUUAAAUUUGUAACAGCAAAUUUUAUUAAUGUGGGGAAAUACAGUUUAAUUAAUAUACAUUAUUUCGUAUACAUUAGCAUGACAAUCAUACCCCCUCAAUGGAAAUACAUGAACACAGCCACAGCGCCCCCAGUUUUCAGACCCUCACGGGUUGAUUUCUGUUGUUAGAUGUUGCUGCUCUGUGUUCUCUAUUGGACAGGUUCUUAAAAAUCAGAAAUGAAAAGUCCCACAAUUAAAGCUAGGUUAUAUCACAAUGUAUUAUUAAAAGACAGUGAUCAUUUUUUCUCUAUAGUAAUAAUUUCUCAGUUUUUAUUAGCCAAAUUAUAUUGCCUUCUGAAAACUUCCAGAGAGUAAGCACAAUAGAAUAUUUCUAGGAAAAUGGGGAACUUUCAUAAAUACGGGCUUGGCUUCCAAGUUGAAGCCAAAGCCAAUUUUAUGAAUUUAAUUUUUGUUCUACAAGGUCAUGAACUUACAGGAAAACCAAGGGCUAAAUUUAAAGCAACAUUGAUCUUAUAUAUGAAUCUGGACGAAAACUAUGCAAGGCAAGGCAGUUUAUGCUGAAUUAAGCUGUGUUUGCAAAAUGUGAUAAAAAGCACUGCCUAUUUUGGAACCCAUUUCAAUGGGUGUGCACUCAUGAGGGCUAAGUCAAAUAAAAAAGUCUGCCCAAAUUUAUCUUGGGGUGAGGCUGUCAGAUUUCACACAGCUUUCAUUGCCAAUAGCAAGCAUUUCUCAGUCAGAGUGGACCAUAAAGUUGCCAUUUUUCAGAAUUGAAGUUUACUCUUGAAGAAAUUUAACAUUAGAACAAAAAGCCAAAUACCUAUGUCUAAAACCAGCCCAAAGAAUUAGCUGUUUCAUAUAUACGAUAUAUAUAUUACACACACAUACAUAUGUACAUGUAUAUGUUUAUUUGUGUACGAUAGAGAUAUAUAUUCUGUGUGUGUAUAUAUAUAUGUGUGUAUAAAUAUAUAAAGAGUGAGAGAGCCAGAAAGAGAUAGGCAAGAGGGAGAUACACACACACACACACACACACACACACA
rnacentral:lncRNA from 1 species